GAACAGGACGUCACAGAGGGUGAGAAUCCCGUACGUGGUCGCUAGCCUUCGCCGUGUAAAGCCCCUUCGACGAGUCGAGUUGUUUGGGAAUGCAGCUCUAAAUGGGAGGUAAAUUUCUUCUAAAGCUAAAUACUGGCCAGAGACCGAUAGCGCACAAGUAGAGUGAUCGAAAGAUGAAAAGCACUUUGGAAAGAGAGUCAAAUAGCACGUGAAAUUGUUGAAAGGGAAGCGCUUGCAGCCAGACUUGCCUGUAGUUGCUUAUCCGGACUUUUGUCCGGUGCACUCUUCUGCGGGCAGGCCAGCAUCAGUUUGGGCGGUUGGAUAAAGGUCUCUGUCAUGUACCUCCUUUCGGGGAGGCCUUAUAGGGGAGACGACAUGCAACCAGCCUGGACUGAGGUCCGCGCAUCUGCUAGGAUGCUGGCGUAAUGGCUGUAAGCGGCCCGUCUUGAAACACGGACCAAGGAGUCUAACAUCUAUGCGAGUGUUUGGGUGUCAAGCCCAGACGCGUAAUGAAAGUGAACGGAGGUGGGAACCUUUUAGGUGCACCAUCGACCGAUCCUGAUGUCUUCGGAAGGAUUUGAGUAAGAGCAUGGCUGUUGGGACCCGAAAGAUGGUGAACUAUGCUUGAAUAGGGUGAAGCCAGAGGAAACUCUGGUGGAGGCUCGCAGCGGUUCUGACGUGCAAAUCGAUCGUCAAAUUUGGGCAUAGGGGCGAAAGACUAAUCGA
rnacentral:rRNA from 1 species